rnacentral:rRNA from 1 species
UACGAAGGGGGCUAGCGUUGCUCGGAAUUACUGGGCGUAAAGCGCACGUAGGCGGCUUGUUAAGUCAGGGGUGAAAUCCUGGAGCUCAACUCCAGAACUGCCUUUGAUACUGGCGAGCUUGAGUUCGGGAGAGGUGAGUGGAACUGCGAGUGUAGAGGUGAAAUUCGUAGAUAUUCGCAAGAACACCAGUGGCGAAGGCGACUUACUGGACACAUAUUGACGCUGAGGUGCGAAAGCGUGGGGAGCGAACAGG